AUUGCUUCUUGGCCUCUUAGCCAGGUAUAAUUAUCUGUUCUUAUCAGUUGAACAUUUGAUACAUCCUCCAUCCAAGGGCAACAUAUUAAAUGGAUUUUUGGAUCAGGGAGUUGGAAUAGGAACUUGCUUCAUUUACUCGAGUAAAAAAAAA
rfam:Otolemur garnettii contig032536, whole genome shotgun sequence.